CAUGCACUGCGGCACAUUUCCUGUGUCGGUGACGUCAGUAACACGGUGAACGCCGGUCCAUGCUGGCUUGUCUUAGCACGUGGUGGGGUUAUCCCUCGUGUUACUUAGCACAUGCAGCAGCAGCGCGGAUGGGGAGCAGCAGAUUGCUGCACCCCAUAAAGAAAUGCCACCAAUGUGGCUUUUACAGGGAUUCCUGCUCCCACCAUUGAUGUCUCGCAGAACAAUCACAGUUUACAGCAGUUUGAGCCACAUCAUGAGAGACCAACCAUGGGACUCUGCUGUAUGAAGAUGCGGUCCUUGCCCUCUGUUUCUGAGAGCUUCGGUAAGCUCCAAGGAUUCCAGAUACUGCCACCAGAUGGCUGACAAGCUUAGAGGAAACAGGCGGCUGUAGCAGUUUGGAAUUAUAGGAGGAGAUUAAAUAUAACAUGGAAAGAGAAGGUUGACUGCUUGUACACUGCGUUCUGCUUAUAUGGCUGGUUGUGUUGUUUCUUACUUGGGGAGAUAAGAUUCACAUGGGACAUUGCCAUUAUAUAAAACUGUGCCCACUGAAAUUGGAAACCGUGCUUUUGUCAGAGAUCAUGGCCCAAAUGUGAAAUGUGAGAGGGGCAUGGAGUCCCAUAAAGAAUGCAUGUGAUUGUGCCGCAAUCUACACUUACAAAAGGAAACAUAUACACUGACCAAUUUUUUUUAUUUUAUUUUUUUCCUUCAGUUUUUUUACCAGUUACUAAAUUUAAAGGUGAGAUUUCUUUAAGUACUUUUUGUAAUGCUUACAAAGGUAUGCUUGCAUAACCUUACAUGAUGUCUACGCAAGAGUCUUUGUUGCAGUGUUUUGUUUAUUUGCUUGGUGUAUUUGCUACCAGUUUACUUAAUUCCCCUUAUCUCUGGUAAUGCCUUGUUUAGUAAAUAAAAUUUAAUAAAGCAGAAUUUAUUAA